rnacentral:rRNA from 1 species
UACGUAGGGGGCAAGCGUUGUCCGGAAUCAUUGGGCGUAAAGAGCGUGUAGGCGGCUCGAUAAGUCUGCUGUCAAAGACCGGGGCUUAACUUCGGAAAGGCAGUGGAAACUGAACAGCUAGAGUAUGGUAGGGCAGAGGGAAUUCCUGGUGUAGCGGUGAAAUGCGUAGAGAUCAGGAAGAACAUCGGUGGCGAAGGCGACUUCCUGGACCAAUACUGACGCUCAGGUGCGAAAGCGUGGGGAGCAAACAGG